GAUGAACGCUAGCGGCAGGCUUAAUACAUGCAAGUCGAGGGGCAGCAUGACUGUAGCAAUACAGUUGAUGGCGACCGGCAAACGGGUGCGGAACACGUACAGAACCUUCCUUCGAGCGGGGAAUAGCCCAGAGAAAUUUGGAUUAAUACCCCAUAGUAUUACGGAGUGGCAUCACUUUGUAAUUAAAGAUUUAUCACUUGAAGAUGGCUGUGCGGCUGAUUAGGUAGUUGGCGGGGUAACGGCCCACCAAGCCGGCGAUCAGUAACUGGUGUGAGGGCACGACCAGUCACACGGGCACUGAGACACGGGCCCGACUCCUACGGGAGGCAGCAGUAAGGAAUAUUGGUCAAUGGACGAAAGUCUGAACCAGCCAUGCCGCGUGGAGGAUGAAGGUCCUCUGGAUUGUAAACUUCUUUUAUAUGGGACGAAAAAAGGCUUUUCUAAGUCGUCUGACGGUACCAUAUGAAUAAGCACCGGCUAACUCCGUGCCAGCAGCCGCCGUAACAC
rnacentral:rRNA from 1 species